CAGCAGUAGCCGCGGUAAUACGGAGGGGGCUAGCGUUGUUCGGAAUUACUGGGCGUAAAGUGCACGUAGGCGGCUUUACAAGUCAGAGGUGAAAGCCUGGUGCUCAACACCAGAAUUGCCUUUGAGACUGUAUCGCUUGAACGUCGGAGAGGUGAGUGGAAUUCCGGGUGUAGAGGUGAAAUUCGUAGAUAUUCGGAAGAACACCAGUGGCGAAGGCGGCUCACUGGACGACUGUUGACGCUGAGGUGCGAAAGCGUGGGGAGCAAACAGGAUUAGAUACCCGAGUAGUCCCUGUCUCUUAUAA
rnacentral:rRNA from 1 species